CCUACGGGUGGCUGCAGUGGGGAAUUUUGGACAAUGGGCGCAAGCCUGAUCCAGCAAUGCCGCGUGCAGGAUGAAGGCCUUCGGGUUGUAAACUGCUUUUGUACGGAACGAAACAGCUCUUUCUAAUACAGAGGGCGAAUGACGGUACCGUAAGAAUAAGCACCGGCUAACUACGUGCCAGCAGCCGCGGUAAUACGUAGGGUGCGAGCGUUAAUCGGAAUUACUGGGCGUAAAGCGUGCGCAGGCGGUGAAAUCCCCGGGCUCAACCUGGGACCUGCAUUUGUGACUGCAUCGCUGGAGUACGGCAGAGGGGGAUGGAAUUCCGCGUGUAGCAGUGAAAUGCGUAGAUAUGCGGAGGAACACCGAUGGCGAAGGCAAUCCCCUGGGCCUGUACUGACGCUCAUGCACGAAAGCGUGGGGAGCAAACAGGAUUAGAUACCCCUGUAGUC
rnacentral:rRNA from 1 species